GACGAACGCUGGCGGCGCGCCUAACACAUGCAAGUCGAACGAGCGAGAGAGAGCUUGCUUUCUCGAGCGAGUGGCGAACGGGUGAGUAACGCGUGAGGAACCUGCCUCAAAGAGGGGGACAACAGUUGGAAACGACUGCUAAUACCGCAUAAGCCCACGGCUCGGCAUCGAGCAGAGGGAAAAGGAGCAAUCCGCUUUGAGAUGGCCUCGCGUCCGAUUAGCUAGUUGGUGAGGUAAUGGCCCACCAAGGCGACGAUCGGUAGCCGGACUGAGAGGUUGAACGGCCACAUUGGGACUGAGACACGGCCCAGACUCCUACGGGAGGCAGCAGUGGGGAAUAUUGCACAAUGGGGGAAACCCUGAUGCAGCGACGCCGCGUGGAGGAAGAAGGUCUUCGGAUUGUAAACUCCUGUUGUUGGGGAAGAUAAUGACGGUACCCAACAAGGAAGUGACGGCUAACUACGUGCCAGCAGCCGCGGUAAAACGUAGGUCACAAGCGUUGUCCGGAA
rnacentral:rRNA from 1 species